UGUCGUCAGCUCGUGUCGUGAGAUGUUGGGUUAAGUCCCGCAACGAGCGCAACCCUUGUCAUUAAUUGCCAUCAUUCAGUUGGGCACUUUAAUGAAACUGCCGGUGACAAACCGGAGGAAGGUGGGGAUGACGUCAAGUCCUCAUGGCCCUUAUGGGUAGGGCUUCACACGUAAUACAAUGGCGCGUACAGAGGGUUGCCAACCCGCGAGGGGGAGCUAAUCUCAGAAAGCGCGUCGUAGUCCGGAUCGGAGUCUGCAACUCGACUCCGUGAAGUCGGAAUCGCUAGUAAUCGCGGAUCA
rnacentral:rRNA from 1 species